rnacentral:tRNA from 1 species
GGGGCGGUAGCUUAGUCUGGGAGAGCGCGCGACUGAAGAUCGUGAGAUCGUGGGUCCAAAACGGACGCAGUACGUUUUAAGCGAACUGGUUCGAUGUAAAUCCCACCCACCCCA